UAACACCCAAUUAUCACAUAAGAAAAUCACCAAGCUUUUAACAACAAUCUUUCUAGUACCCAAACUAAUCUCAAAACCUUCGAAUCAACAUGUCUUGCUCAAGUGGAAAGUGCAACUGCGGCUCAAGCUGCUCAUGCGGCAGCAGCUGCAACUGCAACUCCUGCAACGUCGAGAUGUCGACCACCACCACCACUAUCAUCGUCGACGGUGUUGCACCCAGGAUGACUUUUGCUGAGGAAACCGAGGUUGCCGAGAGCGGAAACGCCUGCAAGUGCGGAAGUAACUGCAAGUGCGAUCCUUGCAACUGCUGAAGAUGAGAUCGAGCUUUGACCCAAACAAGAACUGGUGUUUUGUUUUCAUGUAAGAAAUAAAGAAACCUAUGUAUGUGUUAUUUGGAUUUCUAUUGCGGUUUCCUUGUAUUGUGUGACAGUCAAACCGUUUGAUUUCCGAUCCGGUCCUGAAAACCAUGUUCAAACGUUUAUUUAAAUCAACUUGUUUGGGUAUUUAUUAAAAGUUUGGAAUUGGAUGUUAUGUAUGUGUGAAAGAAUGAAGAAGUUGUAUGAUAUGUCCAAAAAACUAAAUUUAUUCUUCU